rnacentral:rRNA from 1 species
GAUGAACGCUGGCGGCGUGCCUAAUACAUGCAAGUCGAGCGAACGGACGAGAAGCUUGCUUCUCUGAUGUUAGCGGCGGACGGGUGAGUAACACGUGGAUAACCUACCUAUAAGACUGGGGUAACUUCGGGAAACCGGAGCUAAUACCGGAUAAUAUGUUGAACCGCAUGGUUCAAAAGUGAAAGACGGUUUUGCUGUCACUUAUAGAUGGAUCCGCGCUGCAUUAGCUAGUUGGUACGGUAACGGCUUACCAAGGCAACGAUGCAUAGCCGACCUGAGAGGGUGAUCGGCCACACUGGAACUGAGACACGGUCCAGACUCCUACGGGAGGCAGCAGUAGGGAAUCUUCCGCAAUGGGCGAAAGCCUGACGGAGCAACGCCGCGUGAGUGAUGAAGGUCUUCGGAUCGUAAAACUCUGUUAUUAGGGAAGAACAUAUGUGUAAGUAACUCUGCACAUCUUGACGGUACCUAAUCAGAAAGCCACGGCUAACUACGUG